rnacentral:rRNA from 1 species
UACGUAGGUGACCAGCGUUGUCCGGAUUUACUGGGCGUAAAGAGCGCGCAGGCGGUCGUUCAAGUCGAGUGUGAAAGCCCCCGGCUCAACUGGGGAGGGUCACUCGAUACUGAUCGACUUGAAGGCAGGAGAGGGAAGCGGAAUUCCCGGUGUAGUGGUGAAAUGCGUAGAUAUCGGGAGGAACACCAGUGGCGAAGGCGGCUCACUGGACCGGUACUGACGCUGAGGCACGAAAGCGUGGGGAGCGAACAGG